GCAUCUUCUUGGGUUAAAAACUCCGGUGGUUAAAGAUGGGCAUGCGUUGUAUUAGCUAGUUGGUGAGGUAACGGCUCACCAAGGCAACGAUACAUAGGGGGACUGAGAGGUUAACCCCCCACAUUGGUACUGAGACACGGACCAAACUCCUACGGGAGGCAGCAGUGAGGAAUAUUGGUCAAUGGACGCAAGUCUGAACCAGCCAUGCCGCGUGCAGGAAGACGGCUCUAUGAGUUGUAAACUGCUUUUGUACUAGGGUAAACGCUUCUACGUGUAGGAGCCUGAAAGUAUAGUACGAAUAAGGAUCGGCUAACUCCGUGCCAGCAGCCGCGGUAAUACGGAGGAUCCAAGCGUUAUCCGGAUUUAUUGGGUUUAAAGGGUGCGUAGGCGGUUUGAUAAGUUAGAGGUGAAAUACCGGGGCUCAACUCCGGAACUGCCUCUAAUACUGUUGAACUAGAGAGUAGUUGCGGUAGGCGGAAUGUAUGGUGUAGCGGUGAAAUGCUUAGAGAUCAUACAGAACACCGAUUGCGAAGGCAGCUUACCAAACUAUAUCUGACGUUGAGGCACGAAAGCGUGGGGAGCAAACAGGAUUAGAUACCCUGGUAGUCCACGCAGUAAACGAUG
rnacentral:rRNA from 1 species